UACAGAGGCCUCGAGCGUUAGGCGGAAUCACUGGGCUUAAAGCGUGUGUAGGCGGACUUCUAAGUACCUUGUGAAAUCCCACGGCUCAACCGUGGAACUGCUCGGUAUACUGGUUGUCUUGAGCCAUCUAGGGGCGAGCGGAACAAGUGGUGGAGCGGUGAAAUGCGUAGAUAUCACUUGGAACGCCAACGGUGAAAACAGCUCGCUGGGGAUGUGCUGACGCUGAGACACGAAAGCCAGGGGAGCGAACGGG
rnacentral:rRNA from 1 species